AUUGUAUUACAACAUCUGUGAUCAGUUGUUAAAUUUAAGCAAAGUAAUAGAAUUUAGAAAUAAGAUUGACUCAAACAUAUAAUGCUGGCAGCAUUCUGAAAGGCAAAGGGUUGUUGAGCUUGAGAAAACCAAACUGCCGACUGAAACAGACAAGACAGCAAGAAAUGAGCAAGACCAAGAAGGACAUAAAGGCAAAGUCGAAAACUGACAUGGGGGAAGACUUGAGCAAUGACUAUUUUGACAUCAAAGCCGAAAUAGAUAAAAUGAUAAGGAUGUACAAAACCAUCAAUGCAGAAAAUGAAAUAAAGAGGUUGCAGGAAAUCAACAAAAUAGAAGCUAUGUUUAAAAAGCUGUAAUCAUGUAUUCAAAUGAAAAAAAAAAAUU